rnacentral:rRNA from 1 species
GAUGAACGCUGGCGGCGUGCCUAAUACAUGCAAGUCGAGCGAACAGACGAGGAGCUUGCUCCUCUGACGUUAGCGGCGGACGGGUGAGUAACACGUGGAUAACCUACCUAUAAGACUGGGAUAACUUCGGGAAACCGGAGCUAAUACCGGAUAAUAUAUUGAACCGCAUGGUUCAAUAGUGAAAGACGGUUUUGCUGUCACUUAUAGAUGGAUCCGCGCCGCAUUAGCUAGUUGGUAAGGUAACGGCUUACCAAGGCAACGAUGCGUAGCCGACCUGAGAGGGUGCUCGGCCACACUGGAACUGAGCCACGGUCCAGACUCCUACGGGAGGCAGCAGUAGGGAAUCUUCCGCAAUGGGCGAAAGCCUGACGGAGCAACGCCGCGUGAGUGAUGAAGGUCUUCGGAUCGUAAAACUCUGUUAUUAGGGAAGAACAAAUGUGUAAGUAACUAUGCACGUCUUGACGGUACCUAAUCAGAAAGCCACGGCUAACUACGUG